GCCUGGAUAGCUCAGUUGGUUAGAGUGUGGUGCUGCUAACGCCAAGGUUGCAGGUUCAAUCCUGUAAGGGAUAUGUCAUAGGCC